GAUGAACGCUGGCGGCGUGCCUAAUACAUGCAAGUCGAGCGGACAGACGAGGCUCUUGCUCGGCUGACGUUAGGGGCGGGCGGGUGAGUCACACGAGUAUAACGUACCUAUAAGACUGAGAUCACCACGGGAAACCGGAUAUAACACCGUAUAAUAUAUUGAACCGCAUGGAUCGUUGGAGAAAGUCGGUUUUGCUGACACUACUAGAGGGUUCCGCGCUGGAUUAGCUAGUUGGUACGGUAACGGCUUUCCAAGGCUACGAUGCGUGGCCGACCUGAGUGGCUGAUCGGCCACACUGGAACUGAGCCACGGUCCAGACUCCUACGGGAGGCAGCAGUCGGGAAUCUUCCGCAAUGGGCGAAAGCUUGACGCAGCAACGCCGCGUGUGUUAUGACGGUCUUCGGAUCGUAAAGCACUGUUAUUAGGGAAGAACGGCUGUGAGCUUAACCGUGGACGUCUUGACGGUACCUAAUCAGAAAGCCCCGGCUAACUACGUG
rnacentral:rRNA from 1 species